rnacentral:lncRNA from 10 species
CACGGAUACGCCACCUUCCGCGGCACACUGCUUCAAGACUCUGGAUCAUUGCUUGUCUUCCUGCGGACGACAGGAAGAAAGAUGAAGGCAUGAGAGAGAUGGCACUUUAUAAAGGGUCAGAGAAGGGCCUCUCUGAUGAGGCAACAUUGGAGCAGAGACUCAGGACCUGAGGCACGUGGAUAACGGGGCUCCCAGCUAUGAAGGGGCCAGCUCGCGGCCACACAAGGAUGACCUCCUUGCCCACCCAGGCUCUGCCUUGACCAAUCCAGAAGCCAUGCGGCCUCUGUGCGACUCCCUGCUCUUCUCCCAGGCCGGGGGCUGGGGCAUGGGCUCGGGCCAGGGGCCGCUGUUUCUUGGAGUCUCCAACCAGAACUGAGCUCUUCAGGGGACCUGGAUGACGCACUGUUUGGGUGGUUGUGUUUGGGGUGUGAUGCGGCCACCCUGGAAAGCCCCAGCCUGUCAGCUCUGAUCCGCGUCCCUGGGGUUCACCUCCCACCUCCGUGUCAGAACCUCUUCCUGCCCUUUCCUGUGGACUGGGGGGGAUCUGAGUGCCUCCCUCCAUGUUUCAUGAACCGAAACUGAAGCUGGAGAAGAUAGGGCUUAUCUGGGGUCAAAAGGAGCCCAGGUCCCCAGCUUUUGUGGGGAAACUUGUUCUGGGGGCUGAGUCAGCCUGGCCAGGUUAUAUGGGCGUCGGGGAUGAAGUGCAGGAGAGGAGUUUGGGGUCAUCCCAUGAGUGAUCAGAGGCCCCUGGGGGCUUGGGUGGGAGCAUCAGAGAGUGGGAGGUGCCAGAGCCGUUCUCUGCCUUCAGAAGGAAGAUGAGUGAGAAGGUGCAAGGGGAAGAGGAGACUGAACAGAGAAAGAAAUUCAAGAGGAGAGCUCUGGAGAGAGAGGCAGGUAAUAAGAGCAGCUCCCAGGCACCCCUAUGUAUUUACCAAGCUUUACAGAGCACCAGCCAUCACUGGUCCAGUCCAUCCUCACAGCUGCUCUGUGGGACAGUGACUGCCAAUGAGGUGGCAAGGGAGCCCACGUGACCCUGAGGGCCUAGCACGCUCUUCAUUGCCCAGGGAAGCCAGCCCCAGCCUGCAGGGCCACCUCCAGAUGAGACACCGCUGGAGACGAUGGGUGGCAUUCUCAGGGCCUCUUUGUGGAGAAAAAUAGGAAACUAUGAUUAUAAAAUUAGGCAUAAAAGUGAAUAUUAAGAGUAAAUAGGGCCAGGCACGGAGGCUCACGCCUGUAAUCCCAGCACUUUGGGAGGCCGAGACGGGCAGAUCACCCGAGGUUGGGAGUAUGAGACCAGACUGGACAACAUGGCGAAACCCUCUCUCUACUAAAAAUACAAAAAUUAGCCGGGUGCGGUGGCAGGCGCCUGUAAUCCCAGCUACUCAGGAGGCAGGAGAAUCACUUGAACCCAGGAGGCAGAGGUUGCAGUGAGCCAAGAUCGUACCACUGCACUCUAGCCUGGGUGACAGAGUGAGACUCCAUCUCAAAAAAAAAGAAAAAAAAGAGAAAAGUUAAUUGGCCACGCACAGUGGCUCACAACUGUAAUCCCAGCACUUUGGGAAUCUGAGGUGGGAGGAUCACUUGAGCCCAGGAGCUCAAGACCAGCCUGGGCCACAGUAUGAGACCCUAUCUCUAGUUUUAAAAAAGUAAAUAAAUCACAACUGCAAAAAAUGUAAAAAGCCAAUAAGCAGCAUAAGCAUAAUAAGAUCCAAUAAAUUAACAUAAUAUUUCUCUUAGAGAACUGCCUGAUGCACCCCUGAAGUACGUUGCGUUUGUGUUUUUUGAGACAGAGUCUCGGUCUGUCACCAGGCUGGAGUACAGUGGUGUCAUCUCGGCUCACUGCAACCUCCGCCUCCCAGGUUCAAGCAAUUCUCCUGCCUCAGCCUCCCAAGUACGUAGCCGCCACCACGCCCAGCUAAUUUUUGUAUUUUUAGUAGAGACGGGAUUUCACCGUGUUGGCCGGGCUGGUCUCGAACUCCUGACCUCAGGCGAUCCACCCACCUCGGCCUCCCAAAGUGCUGUGAUUACAGGUGUGAGCCACUGUGCCCAGUCAGUAUUUUGUACUUUACGUUUCUCCCCUAAAUACUCUCUGAUCAUCUUUUGAAAAGACAACAAGUUUUGUAAUAUCAUUUUCCACUGAGAGAAUAGAACAAUAAUUCAGCCUUUCCACUAGCGUGGUUGACUAAAAAUUAUUAUUGGUCCAAAGGUAGCAAGUUAUCUCAAUCGAUUCUUCACAGUCAGUUACAGAUCCAACUCCUUCCCCCGUCUUACCACUGCACUUAACUAGUCUUGAAAACACAACAAGAGAAAAAUGGCUGGGCACGGUGGCUCACGCCUGUAAUCCUGGCACUUUGGGAGGCCAAGGUGGGUGGAUCAUUUGAAGCCAAGAGUUCAAGACCAGCUUGACCAACAUGGUGAAACCCUGUCUCUAAUAAAAAUACAAAAAAAUUAGCCAGGCAUGGUGGCACAUGCCUGUAAUCCCAGCUACUUGGGAGGCUGAGGCCGGAGAAUGACUUGAACCCAGGAGGUGGAGGUUGCAGUGAGCCAAGAUCACACCACGGCACUCCAACCUGGGUGACA